ACGGAGGGGACUAGCGUUGUUCGGAAUUACUGGGCGUAAAGGGUGCGUAGGUGGUUUUUUAAGUCUGCUGUGAAAUCCCCGGGCUCAACCUGGGAAUGGCAGUGGAUACUGGAAAGCUGGAGUGCGGUAGAGGGUAGUGGAAUUCCCGGUGUAGCAGUGAAAUGCGUAGAGAUCGGGAGGAACACCAGUGGCGAAGGCGGCCAUCUGGGACAACACUGACGCUGAAGCACGAAAGCGUGGGGAGCAAACAGGA
rnacentral:rRNA from 1 species